UUCACAGCAAGGAACAUGGAGCUCAGUGGCUCUGCUUACUAGUUUUCUGGCCUUGGGUCAAUUCCUUGACCGCUGGGUGCCUAUCGCUUAGCGCCGAUCUGAGGAUCCGAUAAAUCAAUUCAAGCAAAGCAUUCAAAAGAGCGCUUGGUGCAUAGUAAGCAGCACGUGAGUGUUAGUUCUUACUAUUGAAGGCUUUCUGCCAGGUGGUGUCUUGAUGAAGCAGCCAGACCUUUUGUUGUGCACCUACUGUGUGUCAGGUGUUUCCCGGGUUCCUGACGGACUCAAGAGAGAAAACACAGACUUCGUAGGGCUUAGCUUUUAGAAGCCUUUGAUUGACUCACUUCCCUGGGGGAAUCCUUAUUUUUCUAAAAGUAGAGAAAGGAGGGCUGUGCUCGAUGUGGAGAACAAGAGAUCAUUCCAGUGGCAAAACAGAUGUGGCUUCCAUCUACGCCCCAACUGAGAGGUGGAGCGAGUGGAGCCCAUGCUGGAGGCCUGUGCUGUGGGCAAGAAGCAGGCCAUCUGAUAUGCACCUGCCUCAUGGCACGAGCCCCGGAAAGAGAAACUGGUGAUGGAAGGCCUCCUCUCUCAUCUGUUUUCCAACUGCCCAGGAGCUUCUAUGUUAGACAUUAGCAUCUCAAAUCUGCAGUGAGCCUCCUCAGACAUCUCUGUGCACAUGUGAGAGCUUCUCUGAGACACGCACAGGUGAAUUGCUGUAUCAUAGAAUAUAUAUUUUCAAUUUUACUAAAUACUGUCAAACUGCUCUCCAAAGUACCUUUACGAAACACACACACGUGCGCACGGCACACACACACACACAACAACAACAAAAACAACAAAGUGCCUUUACCUAGCAGCUUCAGAGAGUUCUUAUUUCUCCCUUGGGGUCAAUGCACUGGA